rnacentral:rRNA from 1 species
AUUGAACGCUGGCGGUAGGCCUAACACAUGCAAGUCGAACGCGAAAGUCCUUCGGAUGAGUAGAGUGGCGGACGGGUGAGUAACGCGUAGGAAUCUAUCCUGUAGUGGGGGAUAACGUUUCGAAAGGAACGCUAAUACCGCAUACGCCCCAAGGGGGAAAGCGGGGAUCUUCGGACCUCGUGCUAUAGGAGGAGCCUGCGUCGGAUUAGCUAGUUGGUGAGGUAAAGGCUCACCAAGGCGACGAUCCGUAGCUGGUCUGAGGGGAUGAUCAGCCACACCGGAACUGAGACACGGUCCGGACUCCUACGGGAGGCAGCAGUGGGGAAUAUUGCGCAAUGGGCGAAAGCCUGACGCAGCCAUACCGCGUGUGUGAAGAAGGCC